UUGGUAUCCACCGCUCAGCACUGUCAAACUCGUUCUCGCCGGAAGGAGGCGGUAGUCAAUGGCUCGGUCAGGUGGUAGUCGCCUUUCGUGGAGGGGCAGGUCGGGCAUUCAUUCUCGUCGUCGACUCCGCCCUCGGGUGCUGCGCGCAGAGUAGCUGAGGUAUCUCGGUCGUUCAGACGCCGGGUCGGCCGUCAUUCUCCGGCCUCGACUAAUCGGGCCGUUUUCGAUCGAGCUGUGGUCGUGAUUGCUUCCAGGGUAUCUGCACGGCGUCGGCGGCGCACCGGUGGGGUGUGCGAGAUUGGGACGGUAGUGGGUAUCUCAGCCAGUCGGGAUGCGAGGUUAUCGUGGUUUAAACAACGUCUUGAUGCUGAAUUCCAGAUCACCGACCACUUGGGGACGGCCACAUCAGACAUGGCCACGCUUCUAUGUGAUGUGCAUUAGUUUUAAGCAUUCCAAGUUCUUCAUCAUUGACGACGAACAUGAACACAGAAAUGCAUAGGGGAGCACCCGAGGAAUUGAUAGACCUUAUGGCCGCGUACCUGGAUAGCAAACAAUACAGUGUCGGGGCACUCUGCUUAAGGAACAUGCAACAAAAUAGGAUGCGGUUGGCAUGGAGUGACACCGCUACAAACGGUGACUCGGGGGGUGUAUGCGAUGAGACACAUGGAGUCUUUUGUUGGCCAGGAGGCCACCAGCUGGGAAUGUGGUCUUGAGACGGGGGAUCCCUUGGUGAAUGAAAACAUGAGAAGGCGAUUCAUGCACAACAUCUUGCUCGGUGAAUGCCAGCAUGCAAAGUAUUCACACACGAGCGGGGGAGUAUGACCGUGAAAGGACUGCACAACUACUUAAACGAGCACCACAUCCACCUCAGUACACAUGGGUGGAAAAGAUUGGUAAUUGGAGGGACUGGUGUGCAGUACACAUGGGGCAUUAUAACUUAGG